rnacentral:rRNA from 1 species
AUGGCUCAGGACGAACGCUGGCGGCGUGCCUAAUACAUGCAAGUCGAGCGGACAGAUGGGAGCUUGCUCCCUGAUGUUAGCGGCGGACGGGUGAGUAACACGUGGGUAACCUGCCUGUAAGACUGGGAUAACUCCGGGAAACCGGGGCUAAUACCGGAUGGUUGUUUGAACCGCAUGGUUCAAACAUAAAAGGUGGCUUCGGCUACCACUUACAGAUGGACCCGCGGCGCAUUAGCUAGUUGGUGAGGUAACGGCUCACCAAGGCGACGAUGCGUAGCCGACCUGAGAGGGUGAUCGGCCACACUGGGACUGAGACACGGCCCAGACUCCUACGGGAGGCAGCAGUAGGGAAUCUUCCGCAAUGGACGAAAGUCUGACGGAGCAACGCCGCGUGAGUGAUGAAGGUUUUCGGAUCGUAAAGCUCUGUUGUUAGGGAAGAACAAGUACCGUUCGAAUAGGGCGGUACCUUGACGGUACCUAACCAGAAAGCCACGGCUAACUACGUGCCAGCAGCCGCGGUAAUACGUAGGUGGCAAGCGUUGUCCGGAAUUAUUGGGCGUAAAGGGCUCGCAGGCGGUUUCUUAAGUCUGAUGUGAAAGCCCCCGGCUCAACCGGGGAGGGUCAUUGGAAACUGGGGAACUUGAGUGCAGAAGAGGAGAGUGGAAUUCCACGUGUAGCGGUGAAAUGCGUAGAGAUGUGGAGGAACACCAGUGGCGAAGGCGACUCUCUGGUCUGUAACUGACGCUGAGGAGCGAAAGCGUGGGGAGCGAACAGGAUUAGAUACCCUGGUAGUCCACGCCGUAAACGAUGAGUGCUAAAUGUUAGGGGGUUUCCGCCCCUUAGUGCUGCAUGACGUAGACUGCAUAAGCUCUCCG